rnacentral:lncRNA from 1 species
AAGUCUCUUCGCUGCUCUAAUCUCACUCCUCAGAGGUGAUCACUGGACCUGAGUGAGCAGAAGGCUUUUCAGAAUUACAGCCUGAACUAUUUCUUGAGCAAUUUGGGAACUCAUUUCUAAAGCAGUCCUCAGAUUCACACAACGUAGUUUGUGACGGAGUAUGCCCAGAGCAGCUGUCUUGUUGAUGGGGGUGCACCCUGACGAAUGGUGUGCUGGCAAAGAUUUAACAAAAGGCUCCAGAGGAGGGCAGACUUGAAGUGGAGCCUUCAGUGGGCAGUGUGAAGGGUGCUGAUUUCAAACAACUCAUCUGGUAUGACUGAACAUGAAGUUGGGAAGAGAUGUGCAUAAUUGAAGUGGGUGAGAGCCAGUCCAGCACCCUGCAGAGAGUGUGGAAGAUGAUCAAAGUAUGACAUUUCUUCUACCCCAGAGGCUGGCAUUUCUGCAGGCACAAAUGAGCUUGGUUUUCAAGCACUGCUCUUUGAACACAAGGAAUUCCUUUAAUGAUCACGCCGGACUAUAUAGACUUUGGAAUCAGACUCUUUGAAUUCCAGCUCUGCCAUUUACCAACUUUGACACUUUGGACAACGUCUCAUUCUGUCACCCAGGCUGGAGUGCAGUGGCACAAUUAUAGCUCACUGCAGCCUCAAA